rnacentral:tRNA from 1 species
GGGGGCGUAGCUCAAUUGGGAGAGCACCUGCUUUGCACGCAGGGGGUCGUCGGUUCGAGUCCGAUCGUCUCCACCA